AGAGUUUGAUCCUGGCUUAGGAUGAACGCUGGCGGCGUGCUUCAGGCAUGCAAGUUGAACGAGAAAGUUCUUUCGGAGAACGAGUAGAGUGGCGCACGGGUGAGUAAGACUUAGGUAACGUACCUUCCUGCUGGGGAUAACUGGGGGAAACUUCAGCUAAUACCGAAUAUACUGGGUGGAACUGCGGUUCUAUUUGGAAAAGUCGUAAGACGUGGGAAGAUCGGCCUGAGAAUCAUUAGCUUGUUGGUGGGGUAACGGCCUACCAAGGCUUGGAUGGUUAGCUGGUCUGAGAGGAUGAUCAGCCACACUGGUACUGGAAUACGGACCAGACUCCUACGGGAGGCAGCAGCUGGGAAUUUUGCGCAAAUGGGGUAGUCCCUGACGCAGCAACGCCGCGUGGACGAGGAAGGCCUUCGGGUUGUAAAGUCCUUUUAGUGGGAAAGAAACAAAUGACGGUACCCGCAGAAAAAGCACCGGCUAACUCCGUGCCAGCCGCGGC
rnacentral:rRNA from 1 species